UACCACAGCAUAGCGUGCCAAGUGGUGCCAUGUCCGCACCUGGGAUCCAAACCAGCUAACCCCGGGCCGCCAAGAAACAGAACGUGCGAACUUAACUGCUGCGCCACCAGGACGGCCCUGGAGUAGAAGUUUUGAAGAGUGGGAAAGCGAACAUAUUAGAGGAGUAUAGGAGGAAUACAGAACACCAGCCUGGUAUCCAGAGGAUACUUCCAAACUAGGAGAUGUUAAAACCAAAAAAGAGGUCUUCCCAGAGGCAGGGGAAUGGACAAGAUGACCUAGUGGAGCAUCCAUCCUUGCAAAGAAAGCCUCAGUCUUCAUCCUGCUGGCUUCUCUCUUCCGCUGCAGCAGUAAAAUGAGUUUUUGUUUUGUUUAGUUUAGAAUAAGAUCCCAUAAUUUAUUCUGCACAUAAUGUCAUAAAAGAAAAAUAUAAUGGCUCUUUGCAGUUGCAUGCAUUACAGUACGAAUUUCGUUGUCUUUUUGAAUUCAGCUUAUUAUUACAGCAAUGAUUUGGGUUAAAUGUUUAUGUAACAGAAAUUUUCUGCUUCUUGAUAUGUGAUAAGAAUGUGAUGAUCAGUAAAAUUAAUUUUAUAACAA